AACUUUCCACGUGCUACAAGAAAGAGCUCGGAACUAGCCCGAGAUAGAGCAACAGAGAGAGAGAGAAUCAGUCCAGAAAAAUGCACAACUGGGUUAGAGCCGAUUCAACCGAUUUCAAUGGAACACUCCCCAAACGUCGAAGUGGUCAUACUGCAAUUAAUGUUGGGAAAUCCAAAGUCGUUAUAUUUGGUGGAUUACUCGAUAAGAAAUUUCUCACUGAUCUUACUGUACUCGAUACUGAGAGCAAUUUCUGGUAUCAACCAGAAUGCACCGGAAAUGCGUCAGACGGGCAAAUAGGUCCAAGUGCACGGGCGUUUCAUGUGGCUGUAGCCAUUGAUUGCAAUUUGUUUAUUUUUGGUGGCCGCGCUGCUGGCAAGAGGUUGGGAGACUUUUGGAUGCUCGAUACAGAUAUUUGGCAAUGGUCAGAACUAACUGGUUUUGGUGAUUUACCCUCCCCAAGAGAUUUUGCUUCUGCUUCGUCUAUCGGAAAUAGGAAAAUUGUGAUGUAUGGUGGUUGGGAUGGUAAAAAGUGGUUGUCAGAUGUUUAUAUCCUUGACACGAUGUCACUUGAGUGGACAGAGUUAUCAAUUUCUGGAUCUGUACCACCACCUAGAUGUGGGCACACAGCCACUAUGGUCGAGAAGCGAUUGCUUGUGUUUGGUGGUAGAGGAGGUGGCGGGCCAAUCAUGGGGGACUUGUGGGCUUUAAAGGGUAUUAUUGAUGGAGAGAAUGAAGCACCAGGUUGGACCCAGCUGAAGCUUCCUGGCCAACAGCCUUCUCCCCGUUGUGGCCAUACAGUGACUUCUGGGGGACAUAAUCUCUUAUUAUUUGGAGGGCAUGGCACUGGUGGUUGGUUGAGUCGAUAUGAUGUCUAUCACAAUGACUGCAUUGUCUUAGAUAGAGUGUCUGUGCAAUGGAAGCGUUUACCUACCAGCAAUGAACCCCCUUUAGCUCGAGCGUACCACACAAUGACUGCUGUCAGGUCUCGUUAUCUUUUAUUUGGUGGGUUUGAUGGAAAAUCUACAUUUGGUGAGCUGUGGUGGUUGGUUCCUGAAGAUGAUCCAAUUGCAAGAAGGUUGACUUCACCCCCUUCAAAUAAUAUAUCAGAAAGUAAUACUGGAUCUGCACAGGAUGUUGCACUCCAAUCGGCAAGGGAUAGCAAUAAUGAGGAAUCUCCGAUUACAGAAUUAUUUAGAAGACUGAAAAUAUCAGUUUCACCUUCAUCUGAGUUUGGUAUCGUAGAUGAAUUGGAUGACAAAGAAUUUCUAGAAGUAGCAUCAAGGUUGACCAGAGAAGUAGUAUCCAACCAUGAACGGGACACACUUAUUCAGUCAGUGCGUAGUCACUGGGUUAGUUCUACACCAAGGUCUAUACCAUUAAAAGAGCUAGGCCCCUUGCUGCGAGACUACAAACGUUUGAUUUUCCGCCACCACUUAGGUAAUGGUGGAUCCGAUUUAUCGCCUAUGAAGACUGGGACUUUAGGAGAGGAGAUUUAUCAGUUUUAUCACACCAAAACUGCAUCUCAGUUGCGCAUGGGUGAUAUUCCAAAGCUGUUAACCGAGUACAAGCGACUUGUAUCUAAGUGAAAAGUGGCUUGCAGACUAUUUCGCAAUAAACAAAUUAAUACUGCAAGUCAUCUCAGGUUAUAAUGAACAGAAAUAGCUUUAAAGGGUAUCAGGUCCAACUUUCUUUAUUAUAACAAAUUGGUGAGAAAUUACCAACAUGCCAUUUACUAAAGCCAGUGAGGUUCUACUUUCAUCUUUAUUGUUUAUUAAAGAUAGUUUCUCUUAUUAAACCCUUUACACCAUUGCAGUUUCUUUACGUUAUUAAAACCUAAUACCAUAAUCUUCUUACCCUUUUGUCUUUAC